CAGCCGCCGCGGUAAUACGUAGGUGGCAAGCGUUGUCCGGAAUUAUUGGGCGUAAAGGGCUCGCAGGCGGUUUCUUAAGUCUGAUGUGAAAGCCCCCGGCUCAACCGGGGAGGGUCAUUGGAAGCUGGGAAACUUGAGUGCAGAAGAGGAGAGUGGAAUUCCACGUGUAGCGGUGAAAUGCGUAGAGAUGUGGAGGAACACCAGUGGCGAAGGCGACUCUCUGGUCUGUAACUGACGCUGAGGAGCGAAAGCGUGGGGAGCGAACAGGAUUAGAUACCCCAGUAGUCCCUGUCUCUUAUAC
rnacentral:rRNA from 1 species